rnacentral:tRNA from 1 species
GGCUUGUGGUUUAGUGGUAUAAUUUUCCCUUAGCAUGGGAAAGGUCCUGGGUUCGAUUCGUAAGUCA